rnacentral:rRNA from 1 species
AAAAACGAAUGCCACUCUGAACAAGCCCGAGCCCGUCUGAUCUCAGAAGUUAAGCAGGGUCGGGCCUGGUUAGUACUUGGAUGGGAGACCACCUAGGAAGACCAGGUGCUGUAGGCA